UACAUAGGACUAACUUUUACGCCCAAUGGCCCAAACUUAAAAUUUCUUCAGAAAAAUUUGUAAAGGAUUCAAAUCAAAGUUUAACGAAAACUAUUGGAAAUGCAAUUUUAAAUUCUAUUCUACGAACAAAAAUAUUGUUUAACAACAAAUUUAUAAUUUCUUGCUUGUUUUUGGAUCUACGUUUUCAACAUAUAUUAUCGCCGCAAAAAAAAAUUGACGCAAUAAAUCAUUUAAAAUUAUAAACUUAAACUUCUUCACCCUACUGGCAAUAUGUGCUCAACUCCGAAUUCCAGCUCUAAUGAAAUGAAGAACUUUUUUUUUGAUAAGGAAGACUAGUUCUUAGAAGCGUACUUAUCUCAAGGCGUUAAAUCAGAAGAUUGACAUAGACGUUUUGUCUUAUUGGAAAGGCAAACAGUAUACCGACCAGGAAUUAUACGCAAUUAGUAAUGUUUGUUAUGCCGUACCGCCAACAGGGGUGCCGAUUGAACGAGCUUUCUCUUCUUUAAGACUGGUGCUUACCGACUAUCGCAAUCGAUUAAGACAAGAUGUUUUUGAGAACAUAUUGCUCGUCAAAUUAAAUCCCAGCUUUCUGGACACUUUUUGAACAAGAGGUACUUUGUAAUGAAUAAAACAAAAAUGAGUAUUGAAUGUUUCCAACUUAUGUAUACGUUCGAAAGAAACAGCAAAUUUUCUGAUUUUGUUCUGAUUUUCGUUUGAUUUUUGCGGCAGGCAAGCAUACGACUUCUGACUUUUUCAAAAGCAGAAGCAAAAGCAAUUGCAUACUUUUUGAUAUCGCUCGCAGUCGAAAUAGCAAAUAGCAACAAUAUUGCGAAUUCUGCUAAUUCAGUUAGUUUUAGUAAACCAGUGGGGGGCAAACUCUCAUUUUUCAUAGCAUAGGGUAA